rnacentral:rRNA from 1 species
GACGAACCGUGCGAACGUUAUUCGGAAUCACUGGGCUUAAAGCGCGUGUAGGCGGGGCGGAACGUCGGAUGCUGAAAGCCCCCGGCUCAACCGGGGAAUUGCGCCCUAAACUGGCGAGCUGGAGUGAGAUAGGGGUGUGUGGAACUUCCGGUGGAGCGGUGAAAUGUGUUGAUAUCGGAAGGAACGCCGGUGGCGAAAGCGACUUCCUGGACCAAUACUGACGCUCAUGUGCGAAAGCGUGGGGAGCAAACAGG